CGCGUAGGCGGCUUGUCAAGUCAGGGGUGAAAUCCUGCAGCUCAACUGUAGAAGUGCCUUUGAUACUGACGAGCUCGAGGGAGGUAGGGGUCGCUGGAACUUCUGGUGGAGCGGUGAAAUGCGUUGAUAUCAGAAGGAACGCCGGUGGCGAAAGCGAGCGACUGGAUCUCUACUGACGCUGAGGCGCGAAAGCUAGGGAGCAAACG
rnacentral:rRNA from 1 species